rnacentral:rRNA from 1 species
UGCCCUAGUAACGGCGAGCGAAGCGGCAACAGCUCAAAUUUGAAAUCUGGCUAUUUUGUAGUCCGAGUUGUAAUUUGUAGAGGAUGCUUUUGGUGAGGUGCCUUCCGAGUUCCCUGGAACGGGACGCCAGAGAGGGUGAGAGCCCCGUACGGUUGGAUACCAAACCUUUGUAUAGCUCCUUCGACGAGUCGAGUAGUUUGGGAAUGCUGCUCUAAAUGGGAGGUAUAUCUCUUCUAAAGCUAAAUAUAGGCUAGAGACCGAUAGCGCACAAGUAGAGUGAUCGAAAGAUGAAAAGCACUUUGAAAAGAGAGUUAAACAGCACGUGAAAUUGUUGAAAGGGAAGCGCCUAUGACCAGACUUGUUUCUUUCAGUUUUGUUAGUUUUCGGACUGAUUUACUCUGUUAGUACAGGCCAGCAUCAGUUUGUUGUCAGGGAGAAAGGCUUAGGGAAUGUGGCUCUUUCGGGAGUGUUAUAGCCCUUUGCAUAAUACCUUUCGGCAGACUGAGGACCGCGCUUCGGCAAGGAUGCUGGCGUAAUGGUCAUCAGCGACCCGUCUUGAAACACGGACCAAGGAGUCAACCUUAUGUGCGAGUGUUUGGGUGUAAAACCCCAGCGCGUAAUGAACGUGAACGUAGGUGAGAGCUUCGGCGCAUCAUCGACCGAUUCUGAUGUUCUCGGAUGGAUUUGAGUAAGAGCACACAGGGUUGGACCCGAAAGAAGGUGAACUAUGCUUGUAUAGGGUGAAGCCAGAGGAAACUCUGGUGGAGGCUCGCAGCGGUUCUGACGUGCAAAUCGAUCGUCAAAUAUGAGCAUGGGGGCGAAAGACUAAUCG